AUGCACGCUGGCGGCGUGCCUAAUACCUGCAAGUCGAGCGCACAGAUGAGGAGCUUGCUCCUCUGACGUUAGCGGCGGACGGGUGAGUAACACGUGGAUAACCUACCUAUAAGACUGGGAUAACUUCGGGAAACCGGAGCUAAUACCGGAUAAUAUAUUGAACCGCAUGGUUCAAUAGUGAAAGACGGUUUUGCUGUCACUUAUAGAUGGAUCCGCGCCGCAUUAGCUAGUUGGUAAGGUAACGGCUUACCAAGGCAACGAUGCGUAGCCGACCUGAGAGGGUGAUCGGCCACACUGGAACUGAGACACGGUCCAGACUCCUACGGGAGGCAGCAGUAGGGAAUCUUCCGCAAUGGGCGAAAGCCUGACGGAGCAACGCCGCGUGAGUGAUGAAGGUCUUCGGAUCGUAAAACUCUGUUAUUAGGGAAGAACAAAUGUGUAAGUAACUAUGCACGUCUUGACGGUACCUAAUCAGAAAGCCACGGCUAACUACGUG
rnacentral:rRNA from 1 species